UACAACACAUUUUUCUUAAAUCAUACUGUCAAACUGAUUUUUUCCCAUAAAAUGGAGAAAUCAGUCAUCUGCACUUUUCUUUUUGUAGUUUUUAUUCAUGGAGUCUGGAGUCAGGUCAAACUGGAGCAGUCAGACUCUCAGGUGAAGAGACCUGGAGAGACAGUGAAGAUGUCUUGUGUCAUUUCUGGGUACAGCCCGACAAGCCAUUAUAACCACUGGAUAAGACAGAGACCAGGGAGAGGACUGGAGUGGAUUGGGAGGAUGGACAAUGGUAGAAAUGCUGUCAUCUAUGGCAGCUCCUUCCAAAGUCGUUUCAUCAUGACUGAAAAUGUCCCCAGCAGCACCCAGUACCUGCAGAUCAGCAGCCUGACAGCAGAAGAUUCUGCUGUUUACUUCUGCGCUCGAGAGACACAGUGACUGAAAGCAGAGGAACAGCUGCAC